rnacentral:tRNA from 2 species
GGAGGGAUGGCCGAGCGGUUGAAGGCGGCGGUCUUGAAAACCGCUAUGGGCGCCAAGCCCAUCGGGGGUUCGAAUCCCUCUCCCUCCGCCA